GACGAACGCUGGCGGCGUGCUUAACACAUGCAAGUCGAACGAAGUGGCGAACGGGUGAGUAAUACGUGGGUAACCUGCCCUCCUUUUUGGGACAAGCCUUGGAAACGGGGUCUAAUACCGAAUAAAGGGGGAUGGGCUCGCGGCCUAUCAGCUAGUUGGUGGGGUGAUGGCGUACCAAGGCGGUGACGGGUAGCCGGCCUGAGAGGGUGAACGGGGACAUUGGGACUGACAUACGGCCCAGGGGCGGACGGGGGGGAGCAGUGGGGGAUAUGGCAGAAAGGGCGAAAGCCUAAUGCAGCGACAGCGCAGAGGGGAUGAAGGCUUUCGGGUUGUGAAGCUCUUUCACUAUCGAACGGGUAGGUAAAGAGAAAGCGCCGGCUAACUACGUGCCAGCAGCCGCGGUAAUAC
rnacentral:rRNA from 1 species